UCAAGACUCAACGUUGGCGCGAUCCUGAAUAUGCGGUCUUUGGUGGGCAAGAUGUCGUGUACCAGCAUCUUGAUGGCCAUGGAGGAUUUCUAUGCGGUCCAUGGAGACCACGCGACUAGGCUGGUUCUCCACAUCAGGGAUUCCAAUGGUGGUGGCAAUAUCCAAGCUGCAUCAGCAGCUGUUGAUCUUCUGGAGAAUCACCAUGUCCAAGCUAUCAUUGGUCCAGAAAAAUCUGCGGAGGCUGCUUUUGUGUCUGAUAUUGGGAAUAACAGUCAAGUCACCGUUAUCUCCUUCACGGCAACGAACCCCACCCUUUCAUCUGCCAAUGUGCCAUAUUUUUUGCGCGCAACAUUAAGCGAUGCUGCCCAAGUGAAUAGUAUUGCUGCUCUCAUCAAAGCAUUUGGCUGGAGGGAAGUUGUGCCCAUAUACGAAGAUACGGACUACGGUAGAGGCAUCGUACCGUACCUGGUGGAUGCACUCCAAGAGUUCGGAGCUUCUAUGCCGUAUCGCAGUGUGAUAGCUCAGUCAGCAAGCAGUGACCAAGUUGAGCAAGAACUAUACAAGCUAAUGACAAUGCAGACAAGGGUCUACAUUGUGCAUAUGUUACCAACCACUGGUUCCAUCCUCUUCAAAAAGGCCAAGGAGAUUGGAAUGAUGACCGAAGCCUAUGUGUGGAUUUUGACGGAUGGAAUCGCAAAUAUCAUCAACUCGCUAAGCCCUUCAGUUCUUGAUGCAAUGGAUGGUGCAUUGGGUGUGAGGUUCCAUGUACCUAGAUCAAAGGAACUUGAUGAUUUCACUGCAAGAUGGAAUAAGAGGUACAGACAAGACUACCCAGAUGACUCACUAUCGCAACUAAGCAUUUACAGCCUCUGGGGUUACGAUGCUUUUUGGGCCCUGGCACAAGCAGCAGCAAAGGUUAGAAUGACCAGUCCCACAUUUCAGAAGCAGCAAUACAGAAAGAACUCAACCUGUGUUGGAACUUUGGGUGUUUCUACAGUUGGUCCAAAACUCUUAGAUGCAAUCUUACAAUGCAAGUUCAGAGGCUUGAGUGGUGAUUUUGACCUCAGAAACAGACAGCUCCAGUUUUCCACAUUCCAGAUAAUUAAUGUGGUUAGAAGAGAAUCAAAAGAAAUAGGUUACUGGACAGCAAAGCAAGGAAUAGUCAGGAACCUGAAUCAAGAUGUAUCAGCACACACAUAUUUAAACCCUAUGCCUGAUCUCAACCCAGUGGUUUGGCCAGGACAAACACAUAUAGUGCCUAAAGGAUGGCAGAUUCCUACUAAUGGGAAGAAGCUCCGAGUAGGUGUACGGACAAGUGGAUAUCCUGAGUUUAUGAAGGUGGACAGGGACCCUGUCACCAAUGCGAUAACGGCAACAGGAUACGCGAUAGAUGUAUUUGAAGAGGCGAUAAAGAAACUCCCGUAUGCAUUCCCUUAUGAAUAUGUAUCAUUUGAUGCUCUCGGAGUAAAUUAUGGGAGCUAUAAUGAUUUUGUCUACCAAGUUCCUCUUGGGGUGUAUGACGCAGCAAUUGGGGAUAUAACCAUCAGGCACAACAGAACAUCUUAUGCUAACUUUGCACUACCAUAUUCUGAAUCUGGGUAG
rnacentral:rRNA from 1 species